CCUACGGGCGGCAGCAGUGGGGAAUAUUGGACAAUGGGGGGAACCCUGAUCCAGCCAUGCCGCGUGUGUGAAGAAGGCCCUCGGGUUGUAAAGCACUUUCAGUGAGGAAGAACGCCUGGUGGUUAAUACCCAUCAGGAAAGACAUCACUCACAGAAGAAGCACCGGCUAACUCCGUGCCAGCAGCCGCGGUAAUACGGAGGGUGCGAGCGUUAAUCGGAAUUACUGGGCGUAAAGCGCGCGUAGGUGGCUUGAUAAGCCGGUUGUGAAAGCCCCGGGCUCAACCUGGGAACGGCAUCCGGAACUGUCAAGCUAGAGUGCAGGAGAGGAAGGUAGAAUUCCCGGUGUAGCGGUGAAAUGCGUAGAGAUCGGGAGGAAUACCAGUGGCGAAGGCGGCCUUCUGGACUGACACUGACACUGAGGUGCGAAAGCGUGGGUAGCAAACAGGAUUAGAUACCCCUUGUAGUC
rnacentral:rRNA from 1 species